GAGCCUUUUAGAUCACCGAAGUUAAGCAUCAUUGGGCGCGGUCAGUACUUGGGUGGGUGACCACCUGGGAACACUGCGUGCCGUU